rnacentral:rRNA from 1 species
UGAGGAAUUUUCCACAAUGGGCGAAAGCCUGAUGGAGCAAUACCGCGUGGAGGAAGACGGUCUGUGGAUCUUAAACUCCUUUUCUCAGAGAAGAAGUUCUGACGGUAUCUGAGGAAUAAGCUCCGGCUAACUAUGUGCCAGCAGCCGCGGUAAUACAUAGGGAGCAAGCGUUAUCCGGAAUGAUUGGGCGUAAAGCGUCUGUAGGUGGUUCGAAAAGUUUACUGUCAAAUACAUUGGCUCAACCAAUGGCAGGCAGUAGAGUACUAUCGAACUAGAGUUUGGUAGAGGUAGAGGGAAUCCCUAGCGUAACAGUGAAAUGUGUAGAUUUUAGGGAGAACACCAGCGGCGAAGGCGCUCUACUGGGCCAAUACUGACACUGAGAGACGAAAGCUAAGGGAGC